rnacentral:rRNA from 1 species
ACGGCUCAGUAACACGUGGACAACCUGCCCUUAGGUUGGGUAUAAACCCGGGAAACUGGGUAUAAUACCCGAUAGGUCUCGAUUACUGGAAUGCAUCGAGAUUUAAAGCUCCGGCGCCUAAGGAUGGGUCUGCGGCCUAUCAGGUAGUAGUGGGUGUAGCGUACCUACUAGCCUACGACGGGUACGGGUUGUGAGAGCAAGAGCCCGGAGAUGGAUUCUGAGACACGAAUCCAGGCCCUACGGGGUGCAGCAGGCGCGAAAACUUUACAAUGCUGGCAACAGCGAUAAGGGAACCUCGAGUGCCAGGUUACAAAUCUGGCUGUCGAGAUGCCUAAAAAGCAUUUCAUAGCAAGGGCCGGGCAAGACCGGUGCCAGCCGCCGCGGUAACACCGGCGGCUCGAGUGGUAACCGUUAUUAUUGGGUCUAAAGGGUCUGUAGCCGGCCGGAUAAGUCUCUUGAGAAAUCUGGCAGCUUAACUGUCAGGCUUUCAGGAGAUACUGUCUGGCUCGAGGCCGGGAGAGGUGAGAGGUACUUCAGGGGUAGGGGUGAAAUCUUGUAAUCCUUGAAGGACCACCAGUGGCGAAGGCGUCUCACCAGAACGGACCUGACGGCAAGGGACGAAAGCUAGGGGCACGAACCGGAUUAGAUACCCGGGUAGUCCUAGCCGUAAACGAUACUCGCUAGGUGUCGGCCACGGUGCGACCGUUGUCGGUGCCGUAGGGAAGCCGUGAAGCGAGCCACCUGGGAAGUACGGCCGCAAGGCUGAAACUUAAAGGAAUUGGCGGGGGAGCAC